rnacentral:rRNA from 1 species
UACGUAGGGGGCAAGCGUUGUCCGGAUUUACUGGGUGUAAAGGGUGCUCAGGCGGGUUUGUAAGUCAGUGGUGAAAUCCCGGGGCUCAACUCCGGAACUGCCAUAGAUACUGCAAGCCUAGAGUACGGAAGAGGUUGAUGGAAUAUCUGGUGUAGCAGUGAAAUGCGUAGAUAUCAGAUAGAACACCAAUGGCGAAGGCAGUCAACUGGUCCGUUUACUGACGCUAAAGCACGAAAGUGUGGGGAGCGAA